AUUUAUGUAGUUUAUUAAAACAUUACAUUUUCAAUGUAAAAAUAAAAGUUAACUUUUCAUAAAUA
rnacentral:tRNA from 1 species